GCUGGUGCCACCGUCGAGAGUACGGGUAUCCCUCCGGAGCAGUUCACUGAGAUUGUUCGGAUGGUGAUUACCUUACUACUGGAUGUGUUUGGGUCAUUGUUGAGUCAGCCCUCGACUACUCAGGUAUACUAUUUAUAAUAUAAUUCUAUUCUGCAUGUUAUGUAAUUUUCAUUUAAUUACUUAUCUUUAACUGUAUUAUAUAUAUGGACUAAUGAGUUACAUUAUAUUGUCUCAACAGGGUGACGAUCGGGCUGACGAUGCUGAUGAGCGGUUGGACGACGAUGGAGGCACGUGACAUAUAUAGUUUUGUUAUGCUUAAUGUGAUGUAAAUUUUAAUAAUUUAGCUGAUUUUUGAUGUAUUGUAGCUUUUAUUUAUCAUUACUUUAGUUUGACAUAUUUACGUUAGUUUAAAUGCAUAUUUGAUAUACUUUAGUUGAUUAGAACUUUAGUUUAAUGUCAUAUUCAAGUUGGCCUUGUAAUUAAUAUUUAUGUUGGUU
rnacentral:lncRNA from 1 species